rnacentral:rRNA from 1 species
CCUACGGGAGGCAGCAGUGAGGAAUAUUGGUCAAUGGGCGCUAGCCUGAACCAGCCAAGUCGCGUGAAGGAUGACUGCCCUAUGGGUUUUAAACUUCUUUUAUAGGGGAAUAAAGUGCAGUAUGUAUACUAUUUUCCAUGUACCUUAUGAUUACGGCUCGGCUAACUCCGUGCCAGCAGCCGCGGUAAUACGGAGGAUCCGAGCGUUAUCCGGAUUUAUUGGGGUUAAAGGGAGCGUAGGCGGGUUGUUAAGUCAGUUGUGAAAGUUUGCGGCUCAACCGUAAAAUUGCAGUUGAUACUGGCAUCCUUGAGUACAGUAGAGGUAGGCGGAAUUCGUGGUGUAGCGGUGAAAUGCUUAGAUAUCACGAAGAAUUCUGAUUGCGAAGGCAGCCUGCUGGACUGUAACUGACGCUGAUGCUCGAAAGUGUGGGUAUCAAACAGGAUUAGAUACCCUUGUAGUC